ensembl:lncRNA
UUUGUAUCUGGGGGUGGGCGUCCGGGUACACACCAGCUCACUCCUUGGCGGCCGCUUAUUGGGGCUCGCUCGGGCCACCUCGGAGGUCACUCAGGCGCAGCUGGCUGCCGGCGGAGCUCACGGGCGCGUCACUGCAACUCCCCCUGGCUUCUGCUCCGCGGCUGCUGAAUGAGCCCUCAUCUGGGACUCUCCUUAGCUCUUACUGGGACAGUGGCGCAGCUGCCCCUCUGUGGGUCUUCCUUGGUCUCUUGUGUUCUGGGGGCCUCUGGAUGUCUGGAGUUUUGAUCUCCUCCAUACCUGCUUGAUACCAUAGAGGACAGGGCUGUGGCUCCCCACACUCUAUAGCAGAUCAUUGCAUGGAGAAACCUUUGGAAUGCAAGCAUGCUGAUCCACACAGGUAUGCACACAGGUGUACACAUGGGUAUUCACAGAUGCGGACUACAGCUUUCUUGGCUGCUGCCUCAAAGCACACUGUGCGCUGUCUAUCUUGCGUGCUGCACAAUAUCGUUUAUUAUUUAGUAACUAUUGAUAUCUAUGACUAGCUAGUUUAUUGUGAUGGUGCUUUUUUUUUUUUUUCUAUUAUUAUGUUGCUCUUUGUUGUUUGCUGUCUCCCCUGUUUUUUUUUUUGUUUUUCUCUCUCUCCAUACAGGUGACCCAGGAGUUUUUUUUUUUUUUUUUCUCUCUCUCUCUCUUCCCCCCCUUCUCACCGUCUCUUCUCCCCUUUGGUUUUCUUUCUUUCUCUCCCCCUCUUUCUUUCAUUCUUUCCCCCUGUCCUAAAAAAAAAAAAAAAAAGGAUGAAAAAAAAAAAAAAAAAAGAUGCCAACUUAAGAAAUGCGAGUAUUUAGUUUUGUGUCAGGAGAGCAGGUAAUAAACUGCUCAAGUUUUGGCUUUGGCUUAAUAAAUUUAGGGGUCCUAGAGGAACCCUUUUGAGUGAGGUGGUGUUACGCCCCUCUGCAGCCCCUAAUCUCCUCAGUGUGUUCAGCUGUUGCUAAUUGGCCACACCUAGUAAGGUAUAAAUAAACGCAUACCUGUGGCAGGCUAUUCAGGAAGCUCACUAGUCGUUGCCUUUGUGGCAACAGCCAUUUGAGCCAACCUGGGAUGUCAUUUUAAGCUAAAACCUCUUCUCACUUACACUCUGAUAUUCGUCUCCUUUUUUAUGUUGCAGCCUCGAGCCGGGUCAUAACACCUCCCCUUAAGUUUUCCAAAAAAAACCAGAUAGAUGAUCCUCAAGUACUUAGGGAAAAUAUUCUGUGGAGUCAUGAGACAGUUUGUGGAUAGUUUGAAUUCUGUUAUUUGUGGUAGUGAGAUCAUAAAUGGUCAGAGGGCCCAGUGGCGCCAGUGUCCGGCAGCCUCGCCUCUGUCA